rnacentral:rRNA from 1 species
GAUGAACGCUAGCUACAGGCUUAACACAUGCAAGUCGGGGGGUAACGAGAGGAAAGCUUGCUUUCCUUGUCGACGACCAGCGCACGGGUGAGUAACGCGUAUCCAACCUGCCCCCAACUAGGGAAUAACCUUGCGAAAGUAAGACUAAUACCCUAUAAUUUCCUCAGAUGUCAUCUGACGAGGAAUAAAGAUUUAUCGGUUGUGGAUGGGGAUGCGUCUGAUUAGCUUGUUGGCGGGGUAACGGCCCACCAAGGCAACGAUCAGUAGGGGUUCUGCGAGGAAGGUCCCCCACAUUGGAACUGAGACACGGUCCAAACUCCUACGGGAGGCAGCAGUGAGGAAUAUUGGUCAAUGGGCGGAAGCCUGAACCAGCCAAGUAGCGUGCAGGAUGACGGCCCUAUGGGUUGUAAACUGCUUUUAUACAGGAAUAAAGUUAGCCACGUGUGGUUAUUUGUAGGUACUGUAUGAAUAAGGACCGGCUAAUUCCGUGCCAGCCGCCGCCGUA